AGAGGAUCAACCAAAGAAGAGACAAUCAAAGAGAAGAAUUGAGACCAAAAAUUCAAAUUUAUCUUCGAUGAGAACUUUUCACAAACACAUUGUGAGCACCAUUUUAACUCACCGAAUUAACCAAUUCAAACAAAUCCAAACACAACCUUGAACCGAAAGAAACCACAACACGAGAGAAACAAAAAAUCCACUUGACUAUGGAUUUAUCCAAAACUCACAAACAAACAUAAUCCACAAGACAUGUUGGUAGUAAUCAAAUACCUCCACCCAUGUUAUACUUUUCCCACCAAACCUGCUUGUUGAUUCAAGUGCAAAGAAAGUUUCUAUGCCCAUGGAAUAACAAAAACAAAACAAUACGGCAAAAAUCAAAACCACAAAGCAAGAUGCACCUUUACGUCUAAUAACAAUAUCGCAACUCGCAAGAACGAAGAGGCAACAUUUGUAUCCACCAACACCAACAUUGCAGAAGAAACCCAACUUACAAAUUAAAUAAAACCAAUCAUCAGAACUUAAACCAAACACAUUCCCAAACUAUUUUGGGAAUUCGAUAGCGGAAGCGAUUAAUGAUUC
rnacentral:lncRNA from 1 species